ensembl:rRNA 5S_rRNA 5S ribosomal RNA
GUCUACAGCCAUGCCACCUUGAAUGCACCUGAUCUCGUCUGAUCUCAGAAGCUAGCUAAACAGGGUUGGACCUGGUUAGUACUUGGAUGGGAAAAAUAGAGAACAUAUUUUUUAAAAG